UACAGAGGGUGCAAGCGUUAAUCGGAAUUACUGGGCGUAAAGCGUGCGUAGACGGUCAUGUAAGUCGGGUGUGAAAGCCCCGGGCUCAACCUGGGAAUUGCAUUCGAGACUGCAUGGCUAGGAUGCGGAAGAGGGAAGCGGAAUUUCCGGUGUAGCGGUGAAAUGCGUAGAUAUCGGAAGGAACACCAGUGGCGAAAGCGGCUUCCUGGUCCAGCAUCGACGUUCAGGCACGAAAGCGUGGGGAGCAAACGGG
rnacentral:rRNA from 1 species